rnacentral:rRNA from 1 species
UACGUAGGGUGCAAGCGUUGUCCGGAAUUAUUGGGCGUAAAGCGCACGUAGGCGGUAUCGCAAGUCCCAUGUGAAAGCCCACGGCUUAACCGUGGAAGUGCAUGGGAAACUGCAGUACUUGAGUACUUAAGAGGAUCGCGGAAUUCCCGGUGUAGAGGUGAAAUUCGUAGAUAUCGGGAGGAACACCAGUGGCGAAGGCGGCGAUCUGGGAAGAUACUGACGCUGAGGUGCGAAAGCGUGGGGAGCAAACAGG